rnacentral:rRNA from 1 species
UACGGGGGGGGCAAGCGUUGUUCGGAUUCACUGGGCGUAAAGGGUGCGUAGGCGGUCGGGUAAGUCUGAUGUGAAAUCUCACAGCUUAACUGUGAAACUGCAUUGGAUACUAUUCGGCUUGAGAGUUGGAGGGGGGACUGGAAUUCUUGGUGUAGCAGUGAAAUGCGUAGAUAUCAAGAGGAACACCAGUGGCGAAGGCGAGUCCCUGGACAACUUCUGACGCUGAGGCACGAAAGCUAGGGGAGCAAACAGG